UACGGGGGGGGGCAAGCGUUGUUCGGAAUUACUGGGCGUAAAGGGCUCGUAGGCGGCCAACUAAGUCAGACGUGAAAUCCCUCGGCUUAACCGAGGAACUGCCGUCCAAACUGCUUCGCUUGAGACCGGGAGAGGUGAGUGGAAUUCCCAGUGUAGCGGUGAAAUGCGUAGAUAUUGGGAGGAACACCAGUGGCGAAGGCGGCUCACUGGACCGGUACUGACGCUGAUGCGCGAAAGCGUGGGGAGCGAACAGG
rnacentral:rRNA from 1 species